AUAUUAUCUGGCAGGGAAUACAUUGAUCACGAAGGUGGUUUUCCAGGGCUAGGCUUAAUCCAUGUACUCUGGAUGUGCUGACCCCUGCAAUUUCCUCAAAGUGGGAAAACUCAACUGCAUAAUUUGUGGUUAGUGGGACUUGCAUUUGUGCUCUCCCUG
rnacentral:snRNA from 1 species